GGGAGAUGGAGCCCAGGGAGAUGGAGCCCAGGGGAGAUGGAGCCCCGGGAGAUGGAGCUCUGGGAGAAGGAGCCCCGGGAGAUGGAACCCAGCAGAGAUGGAGCCCCGAAGAAGGAGCCCCGAAGAUGCAGCCCCCGAAGCAGCAGCCCUGCGGCAGGCUGGGGCCCGUAGCACUGGCAGGAGCCGCUUGGUGUCACUCGCCCACCGGGAGAGCCGCGGGAGCCAAGGGAGCCGGGCCCGCUGGGCGGCCGUGGCCAGCAGCGCCGGGGGAACGGGCACGGCUCCUCCGCAAGGAUUCACACGGUUCCGAGCCGUUCCGUGCUGGGAACGGGCACGGCUCCUCCGCAAGGAUUCACACCGCUCCGAGCCGUUCCGUGCUGGGAACGGGCACGGCUCCUCCGCAAGGAUUCACACCGUUCCGAGCCGUUCCGUGCUGGGAACGGGUGCUGUGCCAGUUCACACCGUUCCGAGCCGUUCCGCGCUGGGAACGGGUGCUGUGCCAGUUCACACCGCUCCGAGCCGUUCCGUGCUGGGAACGGGUGCUGUUCCACCGGCACACUAUUGCAGUCUGAAGUGCUUCUGCAGGGAAAGUUGGCCCUGGCAUAGUCUGGCUUGGGUUGAAGGUCUGCUUUCAUUUCCAGUCCUGCCUUGCAAUGGAAAAAGGCAGAUACAGCAUCCCUGAGUCUGGAGUCGCCUUCACCUGCGCUUCCCAGGGCUGCAGAACGUGGCACCUGUAGCCAGCUCCAGUUUUGCAGUGACCUGUGAGGACUCAGCACCUCGGACAACACCUCCACAACCCCUGGGCUCAG
rnacentral:lncRNA from 1 species